rnacentral:snoRNA from 1 species
GUCCACAGUUAAUGGCCUGCUGCUCUUUUUAUGGUAACGAUUUUGGCUUUUCUCCGUGAGAAAGAGAAUAUUAUAUAAUUAUAUACUUGUUUCUUAGCGACACAGGAAAUGAGCAUAUUUAUCCCCCACAAAA